GACGAACGCUGGCGGCGUGCUUAACACAUGCAAGUCGAACGGAAAGGCCCUGCUUUUGUGGUGUGCUCGAGUGGCGAACGGGUGAGUAACACGUGAGUAACCUGCCCUUGACUUUGGGAUAACUUCAGGAAACUGGGGCUAAUACCGGAUAGGAUCUCCUGCUGCAUGGUGGGGGUUGGAAAGUCUCGGCGGUUGGGGAUGGACUCGCGGCUUAUCAGCUUGUUGGUGGGGUAGUGGCUUACCAAGGCUUUGACGGGUAGCCGGCCUGAGAGGGUGACCGGCCACAUUGGGACUGAGAUACGGCCCAGACUCCUACGGGAGGCAGCAGUGGGGAAUAUUGCACAAUGGGCGGAAGCCUGAUGCAGCAACGCCGCGUGCGGGAUGACGGCCUUCGGGUUGUAAACCGCUUUCGCCUGUGACGAAGCGUGAGUGACGGUAAUGGGUAAAGAAGCACCGGCUAACUACGUG
rnacentral:rRNA from 1 species